CCGGUGCGAGUAUUAAGGGACGGGGGGAGUAGAUAAUAGCAUAUGACUGGGCAAGAGAAAGAGUGAAUGGCUAUGCAUGACAUGGCAAAUAGAAUACGUAUAUGGUUACGAAUACAUCAAGAAUACAACUGCAAUACAAAGUGAUUUUCCCCUUCUUUUCUCCAAUCUCCCUCAUUUUCUUCACCGUGUUUUUCAAGCUCCCAAAUCCUCCAUUGCGUACUUCAUAUCCAGCUCAAUUUCCCGCUCUCUAUCAACCGAUUCUCUAUUAUGAUUCCGACAAUCAAUGUAACUUCAAAAUGGGCUUAAUUCUGAUUUGGAUUUUCGAGGCAUAAAUUGGGGAAGAACAUCAACCCUAAUUUCCUGGUAUCGAAGAUCUUAUUAGAGGCGGUUUGGAGUACUAUUCUAUAUAGAGCAUCACGAGAUGGAUUACUUCCUGGAGAUGUGAUUCUAUCUGUUAAUGGCCUUCAAUUGCUCAAAACAGGCCAAAAAACAGUAUUCGAAGUUGUUGAUGUUAUUAAAACCAGUCGCAAUUAUCGCAGUUGGGGCAGAAGUAGCGAGAUCGAACAUUGAUGGACUUUACCAAUUCGCAGCAGUGUUGAAUAUAAAUUUAGCAGUGAUCAAUCUGUUACCAUUGCCAGCAUUAGAUGGGGUACUUUGGCAUUGAUACUGAUAGAGGCAGCUAGAGGAGGGAAGAAGCUUCCUAUGGAAUUGGAGCAGACGAUUAUGUCUUCGGGUAUUACAUUAGUUUUGUUUCUUUGGUUGUAUCUUAUAAUUCGAGACACUCUAAACCUUGAUUUUAUCAAAGCUAUAUUGUGAUGGGAAUUGAUGAAGUGAACCUUCAGUUCAGUUGUUUGAGGAAUUGUAUACUAAAUGAUCGAAAUUACUUGUAGUUGAGCCUAUGAUUAUAUGGAAAAGAAUGGCGGUUGUUCCAUGAA